rnacentral:rRNA from 1 species
AGCGAACGCUGGCGGCAGGCCUAACACAUGCAAGUCGAACGAACUCUUCGGAGUUAGUGGCGGACGGGUGAGUAACACGUGGGAACGUGCCUUUUGGUUCGGAAUAACUCAGGGAAACUUGUGCUAAUACCGAAUGUGCCCUUCGGGGGAAAGAUUUAUCGCCAUUAGAGCGGCCCGCGUCUGAUUAGCUAGUUGGUGAGGUAACGGCUCACCAAGGCGACGAUCAGUAGCUGGUCUGAGAGGAUGACCAGCCACACUGGGACUGAGACACGGCCCAGACUCCUACGGGAGACAGCAGUGGGGAAUCUUGCGCAAUGGGCGAAAGCCUGACGCAGCCAUGCCGCGUGAAUGAUGAAGGUCUUAGGAUUGUAAAAUUCUUUCACCGGGGACGAUAAUGACGGUACCCGGAGAAGAAGCCCCGGCUAACUUCGUGC